GUGAACUGCGGAAGGAUCAUUGUCGAAUCCUGCAAAAGCAGACCGCGAACACGUUAAACCAUAUUGGUACCGCGGGUCUUGGGGGAGACCUUUUGCCCGCGCCCAUCUCUCGCACGGCGUGCGUCUAUUCGCGCGUUGUGUGGGCUAACGAACCCCGGCGCGGCAUGCGCCAAGGAAAACUCAUAGAAGCGUCGGUCUCCCUUCGCCCCGUUCGCGGUGUGCGGUGGGUGAACUGACGUCUCUCCAAUGUCAUAACGACUCUCGGCAACGGAUA
rnacentral:misc_RNA from 1 species